rnacentral:rRNA from 1 species
GACGAACGCUGGCGGCGUGCUUAACACAUGCAAGUCGAGCGGUAAGGCCCUUUCGGGGGUACACGAGCGGCGAACGGGUGAGUAACACGUGGGUGACCUGCCCUCCACUCUGGGAUAAGCCUGGGAAACUGGGUCUAAUACCGGAUAGGACCAUUGAUCGCAUGGUUGGUGGUGGAAAGUUUUUUCGGUGGGGGAUGGGCCCGCGGCCUAUCAGCUUGUUGGUGGGGUGAUGGCCUACCAAGACGGUGACGGGUAGCCGGCCUGAGAGGGCGACCGGCCACACUGGGACUUAGACACGGCCCAGACUCCUACGGGAGGCAGCAGUGGGGAAUAUUGCGCAAUGGGCGGAAGCCUGACGCAGCGACGCCGCGUGGGGGAUGACGGCCUUCGGGUUGUAAACCUCUUUCGCCAGGGACGAAGAGUGAUUGACGGUACCUGGAGAAGAAGCACCGGCCAACUACGUGCCAGCCGCCGCCGUAAUAC